rnacentral:sRNA from 1 species
UACCACGUGCAGGUUAGAGGUAGGAGU